GGUCCAUUGGCGAAAUGGUAUCGCGUCGGUCUCCUAAACUGAAGAUUGUGGGUUCGAGCCCCAUGUGGAUCG